UACGAAGGGGGCUAGCGUUGCUCGGAAUCACUGGGCGUAAAGCGCACGUAGGCGGAUUGCUAAGUCAGGGGUGAAAUCCUGGAGCUCAACUCCAGAACUGCCUUUGAUACUGGUGAUCUUGAGUCCGGGAGAGGUGAGUGGAACUGCGAGUGUAGAGGUGAAAUUCGUAGAUAUUCGCAAGAGCACCAGUGGCGAAGGCGGCUCACUGGCCCGGUACUGACGCUGAGGUGCGAAAGCGUGGGGAGCAAACAGG
rnacentral:rRNA from 1 species